UACGUAGGGUGCAAGCGUUAAUCGGAAUUACUGGGCGUAAAGCGUGCGCAGGCGGUUGUGUAAGUCAGAUGUGAAAUCCCCGGGCUCAACCUGGGAAUUGCAUUUGUGACUGCAUCGCUGGAGUGCGGCAGAGGGGGAUGGAAUUCCGCGUGUAGCAGUGAAAUGCGUAGAUAUGCGGAGGAACACCGAUGGCGAAGGCAAUCCCCUGGGCCUGCACUGACGCUCAUGCACGAAAGCGUGGGGAGCAAACAGG
rnacentral:rRNA from 1 species